GCCCCCGUAGUUCAACGGACAGAAUAGAGGACUUCUAAUCCUUUGAUCGAGGUUCGAUUCCUCGCGGGGGUA
rfam:Candidatus Brennerbacteria bacterium RIFOXYD1_FTLL_41_16 rifoxyd1_full_scaffold_40, whole genome shotgun sequence.